rnacentral:rRNA from 1 species
CCUACGGGGGGCAGCAGUGGGGAAUAUUGGACAAUGGGGGGAACCCUGAUCCAGCCAUGCCGCGUGUGUGAAGAAGGCCCUCGGGUUGUAAAGCACUUUCAGUGAGGAAGAACGCCUGGUGGUUAAUACCCAUCAGGAAAGACAUCACUCACAGAAGAAGCACCGGCUAACUCCGUGCCAGCAGCCGCGGUAAUACGGAGGGUGCGAGCGUUAAUCGGAAUUACUGGGCGUAAAGCGCGCGUAGGUGGCUUGAUAAGCCGGUUGUGAAAGCCCCGGGCUCAACCUGGGAACUGCAUCCGGAACUGUCAAGCUAGAGUGCAGGAGAGGAAGGUAGAAUUCCCGGUGUAGCGGUGAAAUGCGUAGAGAUCGGGAGGAAUACCAGUGGCGAAGGCGGCCUUCUGGACUGACACUGACACUGAGGUGCGAAAGCGUGGGUAGCAAACAGGAUUAGAUACCCUAGUAGUC